rnacentral:rRNA from 1 species
CCCUUAGAUGUUCUGGGAUGCACGCGCGUUACACUGAUUCGUUCAACGAGUUUAUGACCUUGCCUGAUGAGGUGGGGGAAUCUUUUCAAAUCGCAUCGUGAUGGGGAUAGAGUAUUGUAACUGUUAGUCUUCAACGAGGAAUUCCUAGUAAGUACGUGUCAUCAGCUCGUACUGAUUAUGUCCCUGCCCUUUGUACACACCGCCCGUCGCUCCUACCGAUUGAGUGCUCAGGUGAAUAGUAUGGACUGCAUCAGUGUUCGGUCUCCGAACGUUGACGCGAGAAAUUCUGUGAAUCUUAUUGCUUAGAGGAAGGAGAAGUCGUAACA